rnacentral:rRNA from 1 species
AGAGUUUGAUCAUGGCUCAGGAUGAACGCUAGCGGGAGGCUUAACACAUGCAAGUCGAGCGGGAUCCACCUUCGGGUGGUGAGAGCGGCGCACGGGUGCGUAACGCGUAUGCAACCUGCCUUGUACAGGGGGAUAGCCCAUGGAAACGUGGAUUAAUACCCCAUAGCAUCAUAGUUUCGCAUGUUACUAUGAUUAAAGCUGAGGUGGUACAAGAUGGGCAUGCGUAGGAUUAGCUAGUAGGUGAGGUAACGGCUCACCUAGGCGACGAUCCUUAGGGGUUCUGAGAGGAUUAUCCCCCACACUGGAACUGAGACACGGUCCAGACUCCUACGGGAGGCAGCAGUGAGGAAUAUUGGUCAAUGGGCGAGAGCCUGAACCAGCCAUCCCGCGUGCAGGAUGACGGCCCUACGGGUUGUAAACUGCUUUUCUAUGCCAAGAAACCUUUCUGCGAGUAGGAAGUUGCCGGUAGCAUAGGAAUAAGCAUCGGCUAACUCCGUGCCAGCAGCCGCGGUAAUACGGAGGAUGCAAGCGUUAUCCGGAUUCAUUGGGUUUAAAGGGUGCGCAGGCGGGCUUGUAAGUCAGUGGUGAAAUGUUGCCGCUUAACGGUAAAAUUGCCAUUGAUACUGCAAGUCUUGAAUAUAGUUGAGGUAGGCGGAAUGUGUUGUGUAGCGGUGAAAUGCAUAGAUAUGACACAGAACACCGAUUGCGAAGGCAGCUUACUAAGCUAUUAUUGACGCUGAGGCACGAAAGCGUGGGGAUCGAACAGGAUUAGAUACCCUAGUAGUCC